rnacentral:lncRNA from 1 species
CCUGAUACUGGGGUGUCACUAGUCAUGAGCAUCUAAACAAUCCAGAAUACUCAGAGGAACUACAAGGUUUAAUACAGAACUAAGAACAUGAAGAAAUAAGAUAGGGAAGAGCUCUGGGCUGCGAACGCCAACAGCUACCUAGAGACUCCUCGGAUCUGCCUGAGCUGGAACUGAUCAUUACUUGGGAGCGGGACCAGAUGCGCCUGAAUCUACACACGGGGUGUAGGAAGUAAAGUGAGUACUCCAACUCAGUGAGUAAUAAUCAUAAAUAAAGACUGAAAGCAAGAAAUCACGUAAAGCACAUUUGCAGACUAUAAUGAAGCAGUAAAACCAAUGAAAGGUAUGUGAAAGUCAUUUAACUCAAAUUAAACUUCACGAAAACCUUUUUCAACAAUUUAGGCAGGUAAAUGACAGGCAAUUAAGGAAAAUAAACACAUAAAGGUUUGCCCCUCGGGCACAGUAUCAACAAAUUUGCCCCUUGGGCAAUAUCUCAAACAAUACCAGCCCCUCGGGCUAUAUCUCACAUCAUAAUGGGUACCCACACUCACUAGGGGUGUGCAGACUCCUGGAGGGGCCCCUUACGGCCCAAGCGCAAUAUCAAGCCAUUUCGUGGCAUCAUCACUAGGCCCUCGGCCUCAUAUCAACAAGCCACCUUGUGGUAUACAUAUCUCAGGCCCUCGACCUUAUAAUCAAUAUCAAUUGUUUUCUCACAACAUAGGCCCUCGGCCUUACUUAGUCAAAAUCCUCACAAGCCACUUGGGCAAUAAUAAAACAUGAUUCUCAACCCAAAAUUUCAUUUAAAAGAUCACUUAAGUGUUAAAAUAGAGUAAACAUGGCUGAGCACAAAAAAAAUAAAAUAUAACAUGACUGAGUUCAAGUAUAAAGUUAGAACAGUGAGGAAAUAUCAAUAAAAGUCCCUUAAGGGUUCAAAUAGUUGGCACGAAUCCCAAAUAUGACAUUCAACCCAAAUAAUGAUGAUAGCAAAUAGAUUUCAGUCAAAUACGUGGCAAAAUAGUCAUUCGAGACGGACUAAGUCACAAUCCCCAACAGUGCACGACCCCAAGCUCGUCAUCAAGCAUAUGCGUCACCUCAAUAUAGCACAACGAUGUACAAGUUCGGGGUUUCAUACCCUCAGAAUAUUAUUUACAAUCAUUACUCACCUCAAUCCGAUCAAAUCUCUAGCUCGCGACGCCUUUGCCCCUCGAAUCGACCUCCACUCGCGUCGAAUCUAUCAAAAAUCAGAAUGAGGACGUCAAAAUAUGCUAAAGGAACGAAGCCCAAGCAAAAAUAAUCAAUUUAUAACACAAAUCCCGAAAUUACCAAAACCCGACCCCCGGUUCCACGUCUCGAAAUUCGAUAAAAAUCACAUUAAUGGAAUCCUUAUCCUCCCACGAGUUCAUACAUACCAGGAACACUGAAAUUGGAGUCCAAAAUGGCCCCUCAAAUUCUCAUUUUAAAGUCUCUUAAUCUCAAGCCCUAAUUCCUCAAUUUUUGGCAUAGAUUCCAUGAUUUAUUAGAUAGAUUUCCCAAUAGAAUCGAGUUUUAAGUCCAAGAAUCUUACCUCCAAGUUAUUCCCCUUGAAUCCUUUUCAAAAAGCUCCAAAAAAGAUCAACAAUGGAAGAAAUAAACCCCAAAAUCGCGGACAAGACGAGUAUUUAAACAUUCUGUCCAGGUCUAAAAUCCUUCUUCGCGAACGCGGUCAAACCCUGACGUUCGCGAAGCACAAAAAUUCCAUUGACCAAAAAACUCUUCUUCGCAAACGCGAUGCCUCAGCUUCACCAACCUACACGAACGCGAUGCCUACCAUUUCGGCCCUUCGCGAAUGCGGGACUCCCCAUCGCGAAUGCGAAGGCCAAACCUGAUGCCUCCCUUCCUGACCCUUCGCGAAUGCGAAGAGCAAAAUACUUGCAAUAGCUAAAGCCAAAAUAUGUAACUUUUCUUUAACUUAAAAUGAUCUGUUCAACCCUCCGAAACUCACCCAGGCCCCUGGGACCUCAACCAAAGGCACCAACAUAUCCUAAAACCUUAUUCAAACUUGUACCAAUCUUCAAAAUACCUCAAACAACACAAAAUCAACCAAAACACAUCGGAUUCAAACCUAAGUUUCCAAAAUCUUUUGAAUUCCGGUUUUGAUCAAAAACCCAAACAAACCACGUCCGAAUGAGCUGAAAUUUUGCACAUACAUCCCAAAUGACACAACGGAACUACUGCAACUCUCGGAAUCCCAUUCUGACCCCUAUAUUAAAAUCUCACCUACCAAUCGAAAAUCGCCAAAAAUUCACUUUCGCCAAUUCGAGCCUAAAUCUACUCCAGACCUCCAAAACUCAUUACGAUCAUGCUCCUAAGUCCCAAAUCACCUCCCGAAGCUAACCGAACCAUCAUAACUCCUAUCCGAGCCCUCUAACACAUAAGUCAACAUCUAGUUGUCUUUUCCAACGUAUGUCACGACCCAAACCGAUGGGCCCCGACUAGCACCCAGUGCCUCUCCUAUCAUUGCGCACUAACUUGAAACUACGGGACUCUGAACAUAUGAUGUCAUACUUUAGCUAUGGGCCACAUUGCAAGAUAACUGCGAGUGCUGACUAAAUGUCAAUAUACAACUGGGUCGACAAGGCCGUCAUAACUAUUACAGCUGACAAACCAACCAAAUAUACAUACAAGGAAUGAAAGCCCAACAUACUGCACUAACUGACAAGAUAUGUCUACAAGCCUCUACUGAUAGAUAUACUAUGAUCGGAACGGCUCUCUGACCUACUCAUGACAUAUAUAUACGUAUAUAUACAAGAUAUACAUAGGGCUCUAUACCCGGAAACACCGAAAGGCGUGAAGCUUACCAAUCAAGCUGAACUCGAGCAACACUUAUUGAAGAGGCCUACUCGUCUGUCUGUCUGACCUGCACGCAUGAAAUGCAGCACCCCCAGAAAAAGGACGUCAGUAUGAAAUAAUGUACUGAGUAUGUAAGGAAAUAUACUGAAAGUUGAAACUGAACUAAUAAUAUAAUAACUGCAAGUAGCUGGAAGUCAAAGAUAAUCUAAAGAUUGCUUACUUGCUGAUACUGACUCAAUUCUCUCAAUAUAGUAAGUAAAAUAGCUAUCCGUCCCUAUAAGGCUCGGUAUUUAUAUAUAUAACUGCUCUGCCAUAGUAGGCUCGCUCAUAAGCAUUCGGCCAUACUAGGCUCUGUAUCUCGGCCAACUAGGCACGCUCAUAAGCGCUCGACCACAAUAGGCUCAGUAUAUAUAUAGCUGCUCUACCGUAGUAGGCUCGCUCAUAAGCGCUCGGCCAUACUAGGCUCUGUAUCUCAACCAACUGGGCUCGCUCAUACGCGCUCCGCCACAGUAGGCUCGGUAUAUAACUUACCAUUUGAUUAGAGGUUGCCCAAUAGGGGCCCGCCCAUUGAUUAUAGCUCGAUGGUAAUGAAAAUACUUUUAAUACUGUAUUUAUACAAAUUCUCUGCUCUCUUGACUGGAAGAAGAAAAUACUAACUGAAUAUGCAGUCCCGAUAAGGAGAAUAUUAUAACUUACAACACUAGAAAAAUAUACGCAAUUUGCGAGACUAGCAAAAUAUACGUAAAUUCCGGGAUAUGAAUAUAAUGACGAGAUCAUGCCAAAUGAAAGAAGAGCUUAGCCUUAACAUACCUGGAGUAGAAAAAAUUCCAUAUACUAUUCUUGACGAGGAUUGCACCGUACUCUUCCAGAACCGCAAAAUUCCACGUUACUAGUAUUCCAACAAAUUCCUUUUUUUUUGAACGAAAACUACCUCUGUGUGUAACGUUUUCUUGAAUCUUUAAGGAGGAAAUGUUUCCAAUCUUUCUCAUGUAUUUGAACUUAAGAAUGAAUGAAGAUAAGAAAGUAUUUAACAUUUUCGUGAAUCAUUUUAAGAAGGAAAUGUUUCUGAUCUCAUUUGGAGCUAAGAAUGAAAUGAAGAUAAGAGUGCAUUUAACGUUUUCUUCAAUCCUUUUAAGAAGGAAACAUUUAUGAUCUUAUUUGGACUCAGAAAUGAAAUAAAGACAAGACUUUUUCAAGUCUUAUUGUUACGUAGAUUUUAAUUUGACUCACAUACGUUGCCACAUGGCAUAUAUGACUUAUGAGUCAUUCUUGCCUUGUGGUAUUUGUGCCACGUUUUUUUUGGAGUUACUUAAUUAAGUUUUGUCCGCUUAUUAGUUAAUCGGGUAAUAUCCUGUUACUCGGUAAUUAAUCAAUUACUCGCAAAAUCGAGAAUUAUUCCCACUUACUUAAAAUAUUACUCACUUUUAACAUACUUUGUAUACCUUACUAUCAUGACCAUGUAGUACCUUGUAUGGCACUAGUCUAUAAAUACCAGGUAUUUUAGCUCGGGCCAUAUUUUAUCCUAAAAUGUUAAACUUUGACAAAAUUUAUUUUCUUAGACUUGCUCCCCCUUUCACCUUCAUGAAUUUACUAAUCACUUGUGAAAUUGCAAAAUCCUUAUAAUCCCCAAAUAAUCUUUUCCUUGGACCGAUGUCAAUUACCUUACGACAAAUUUAAUGUAAAAUACUGCAGGUUCAACACUGUCGUAAUUUAUUACUGCGAAGCAUAAUAUCUCCGUAAUGUAAUAAUUCUAGGUAGAACACUGUCGUAACUUAAUAUUGCAGGAUCUAAUAUUGACGUAAUAUUGUGGGGUGUAACAUCAUUCCCCCCUUUGGAAUAUUCGUCCUCGAAUGUUGAUUGAUGCUCUUAUCAUUUUUAUAACUUAUAGCUCUUAUGAAUACAUUAAUACUCUACUUGUCAUUCAAGCAGUUGCUCUGUGAAUAAAUUCAAAGUCUAGGGUAUUCCCCCCUUUAGUCUUUUUGCUCAUAUCAUGACCUGUGGUCGAAAUCUUCCUAAUCAUGCAACUUUUGUUACCUCUUGUCAUGCGGCCUGUAUGACCCUGACUUUGUAGGUGCACUUAUGCGAUUCAUCUUUCCUUUUUCUUUUUACCUUUUAGUCAAUCUGUAGGCCUUGCUUUGUAUAUACAAGGCUUAAUAGGAUGCCUCUCUGGGCCUCUAUAGGUAUAUUGAAUUCCUUUGCUCGAUACUUUGUUGGAUUUACGAAUAUUGCUAUAUCUCAUCGCAUAGGUCCGUUUAACCAUCCGUAUGAAUUUACUAUCAUAACUCUUACAUUAAUUUAUCGCUGCUGAGGUCUGUUACCAAGUCCCAACUCACUCUCAUUGCUCAUUCCAUAUGUAUAAAUUUAUGUCCUUUAAUGCUUCCUCAUUACUAUUCAUCUUUAGAAUGACGGCCUAAUCUUAUCUCAUACUUUGUAACUUUUGUCCAUCCAUUGUUGAUUCACCUCAAUAUUGAUCUACAAUAUGCCACUGAUAACUUAAACUUUUAUGUAAUAUUGCUGCUAGGAUUCACGUUUUAUCGGGAAUGUCUGAAAUGAUUAGAUUGAUCCACCUGGGGCGAUACCCUGCUUUCAUAACCGUACCUCAUAACAUCCCAAUGUGAUUCACCUUGCGUGGACACUUUAAUUCUAUCCAAUUCAUAAGAUCCAUUUCUUUUCUUCGUUGAAUCAUUACUCAAUCAAAGUCCCAAACAUCAUUUUUUUUCUAUCACAAUUACACCCUCAUUCUAUUACUAGGGUGGAUCUAAAUGCUAUUAGUCUUAGACUCCUUUGAGUACAUUCAGGCUAUAGUGAGCUUUGUAUAAUUUAGAGAAACCAUCUACUCUUCUUGUUUUCAUGGGCUUAAUCCUGAGGACUUAUCCAUUUUCGUUACCUUCUCACUCGCCCUUUCUUAUCCUUAAUCUUGUCUUCUAGAACCUUGUCGCUUCACCAUAUAGUGGCUUGCGACCUACACAACUCUAUUUAUAUUACUUGCAACCUUUCAACUUGCUUGCAUCAUAGAUUUCCUUGUGUCAUUCUGGGACACUAAGUGAGAUAUCACAUCGUCUCUAACUCUUCUUUACUGUCUUAAUUAGCCUCCUCGAUACCUAGAAACCAUAGGCUAUGAGAUAUGCCACUGAUUAUGCCGCUAUCAUUCCUGGAUAUUGAAUCCCAGCACUUCUAGCCUUCUAUCCGGAGUAUGGACUAUUCACAAAUUCUGCCUUUGAGUAUCUCGUACGUUGUUCACUUUUACCUUACUUACCUUAAAAUCUCGUAUUGUAUCUUCUAUCUCUUUCAUAACCUCCCUUCUACAUAGGUAUAAUUCACGUCUAUAACUUGAAGCUCUAUUAUAAUACUCACACCUCUGUACAUAUACAAUCCGGUGGGAGUUUCAUACUGACUUUUUAUGAGACUGGUUCCCUUCUAACUAGCUUUAUCAUAGAGUCGUUAUAGAACAUAGUCGUUAUGCUAUCUCUCUUGCACCUUUAAUAUUAAGAGUGAUUCUGAGGUCUAUAAUUCUCUUGCUCCCUCCUGUUUCGCUUACUCGAUGUAACUAUUUAGUCUCAUUUUCUUUCUGAUCAGCCUCUAUGUAAGCUUAAGCUAUCUUCCGACCUGCAGCUCUCGGUAUUAGUUAUUACUUUAGCCUUUCAUAGGCGCUGAGGGAUAUUUAUGAUAAAAUCCUUUAACAAUUCAAUCCUUCGUCUAUGACCUGGGCUUAAUUUUUUCUUUUAACGUAUACCAGAAUCUUCUACGGCUGUAUAUGAUGCAGGUAUAGAACUCCAAACUCUUAGGUGUGUUAAUAACGUGACCCACUCGGGAUCAUUGAUCAAAUAAUUCUUUUGUUCCAUCUUGGCUUUUUUCAACGUACGCUAUUACUUUUCCUGGUCUUUCUGUCCCCUCGUUGCGUCCAUACUUAGCUCAUCUUAGUGACUAUACAUGUCAGAGUUUUUUUUCUUUUUUUGCAACUCAUAUGAUCUUGAAUAUUCAUUUUGAUUUUUACUUCCCGUUUAUUAGCCAUGGUAGGUGUCACUUUCUUUUUGGAGUGCUUAGGUUGAAGCCUUCUGCCUUAUUUCCUCGGCUAGUUUUUCGUUGUAGUACUUAGGGAGAACUCUUGACUCUUGUAAGGCUGUGAGCUUAUUACGGACCUUUUGAUGUCCUUCCUUGCCUAUAAUUAUCAGUAGUUGCUUACUUCCAUGGCUUUGUGCUUAUAUGAUUGCUUCUGGACUGAUAUUUUUACUGCCUUCCCAGUGGCACUUCUUUUAUCCACGUAACACUAAUACAGUACAUUUAACUACCCCGACUCUUGUUUUAAUAUAUCUCAAGUAUUAUAAUGAUAUUCUCCGAGGCUGAAUUCUCCAUGUUGGGUACUACUAUGUUUAUCUUAAAUGAUCUGGUGACUCGUCUGUAACCUCCUGUUUAGCCAAAACUGAGAUCUUUCUGACCAAUUACUAACUACUCGUUGGCUCAUUCUCAUAUCAAUAUUCCUCGUAAUCUUUCUUAGGUUAUUUACUUUGUUUUAACUUAUGUCUCGUACUGGAUCCUUAUUUAUUAAUAACAGUUCGGGCAGGAACCUUUACUUCCUCUCCUUGACAUCAUGCUUGCACAAUAUUCUUGAAUCGUAGCGUAUCUAUAAGAUUUGGAUAAGUGAUAUCUCAUUCCUCUUUUAUUUAUCACAUUCUUCCUUUACCAUUCCAUAGUCACUAGAACCACUUAAUUCUGACUUAAUGCCACAUUACUCCAUAUUCCCCCUUUUAGGGGUGUACUAAAAGCUGAAGCCACGAGGAUCUACCUAUAGAUGCUUUACCUCUUCAUCAUUGGCAUCUUUUCACAUUAUUGAUGACCCUUACUUGCCUUGCGGAAAUCUUUUUGUACCAAGGUUAAGAAAUUUCCUUACUCAUGAGGGAAAACACCUAGUGUAACUGGCAUAUCCAGUCCCUUAAGAUGAACUUUGCUCACAUUGCUUGCUGUAGGGAAGCGUCCUCCUGAAUGAUCAUCCUCUGAAUUUCUCAUGAAUCUUCUUUUGUCGUCCAUUCUAUUAUUAGCAGAACAAAAUCUGAAGUUCUUAUGGUGGCGACUAUCACCAGUCCCUCAGUCCCUAAUUCAUGUUUAGUUUAUCUUAUUUACCAGCCCAUACUGAUCUCUAUUACUCUGGGGAUUAACUCUCUUCUGGUAGUCGCGUUGAAGUCAAGAAAUUUAUUUCUUGAAAUGAGGACAUAAUUGUAUGGCCUAUACUCUUUUGUUGUCCUACGGCCCGUCACUUCUCGUUUCUUUCUUCACUUGAAUAUAGAUUUUGUAAUAUUGUCAUCUUUUGAUAUACCGUUGUUACCCAUGUAUCACAUCUUACUCAUAAUGCUUUAUUAAAUCUUUUCUUAUUUCCCGCUAACAUUUAUGCCUAUCACUUUAUUCUAAAAACUUGAACAAGACAUUCUUUUGCUCUUAGCUUCCCUUUGCUCUAUCCAAUGGCUCUUCAAGUUGCUUAACGUCCUCGCUUUACUAGGGAUGCAAGCCACCCUAAGGUAAUAUUUAUCCCUUCAAGGAUUACAAUGCAUGUCUUUGUAGUACUCAUAUCUGGCUGCACUAUUUCAGAGUGCACUAUCUGGUGUCUCAUAAAGAGAUCUAUUAGCAUAUUUGCAAUACCCUUCGAAAAUGUCAAUUGAUGCAAACAAUUCACCCAUCAUAUCUUUUUAUACUACUUCUGUUAAUCCCCACAGGCAUAUUUGAAAUAGGUGCAACCAAUUGUAUAUACCUCUAUUACUGUUGAAUAUAACUCGAAAAUCAUAUGUUCCUCUGCCUCAUUAUAAAUGCUAUUAACCUCCAUUAACUGGGGGCCUCGUAUCCUUCUUCAUCUUGCUUCUUUUACUUGUUGAAACUUGUAUUUAUCAUUUUAAUCUCUCGUUAUCUUUCACCAUAAAGAUGGAUAGACAUUCCUGCCUUAUGACUUCUUAUCAAGAAAUUUACACCUUUCAGUAUACCCAUGAUCUGCUAAAGAUCUCACAAUUACAUAUCAUAGGCAGUAUACAAAAAAUCAAAUUCCUCUGACUCAGGUCUUCCACAACUAUCUCUCUUUCCAACCUUCUUUCUGGAUGUAGGUAUCGUCUUAUUAUGAAUAAAAUAGAAUUUCGGAAUUUGAAUUCUUAUAAGUGAGCUCUACCACACGAUCUAGAGUAUGAAGAAAGAGUGACAAUCCCAAAUGCCCUGUAGUCUCCUGCUUAUAAGUGUGGUGCACGACACAUCUAUAAACAAGACUCUACUAGACACGGCUUGUAGACUCCAUAGGACAGAACUGCUCUGAUACCACUUUUGUCACGACCCAAACUGAUGGGCCCCAACUGGCACCCAGUGCCUCUCCUAUCAUUGCGUACUAACUUGAAACUAAGGGACUCUGAACAUAUGAUGUCAUACUUUGGCUAUGGGCCACAUUGCAAGAUAACUGCGAGUGCUGACUAAAUGUCAAUAUACAACUGGGUCGACAAGGUCAUCAUAACUAUUACAACUGACAAACCAACCAAAUAUACAUACAAGGCCUGAAAGCCCAACAUACUGCACUAACUGACAAGAUAUGUCUACAAGCCUCUACUAAUAGAUAUACUGUGAUCGGAACGACUCUCCGACCUACUCAUGACAUAUAUAUACGUAUAUAUACAAGAUAUACAUAGGGCUCUAGACCCGAAAACUCCGAAAGGCAUGGAGUUUACCGAUCAAACUGAACUCGGGCAAUACUUAUUGAAGAGGCCUACUCGUCUGUCUGUCUGACCUGCACGCAUGAAAUGCAACGCCCCCAGAAAAAGGACGUUAGUACGAAAAAAUGUACUGAGUAUGUAAGGCAAUAUACUGAAAGCUGAAACUGAACUGAUAAUAUAAUAACUGCAAGUAGCUGGAAGUCAAAGAUAAUCUGAAGAUAUGCUUACCUGCUGAUACUGACUCAAUUCUCUCAAUAUAGUAAGUAAAAUAGUUGUCCGGCCCCUAUAAGACUCGGUAUUUAUAUAUAUAUAACUGCUCUACCGUAGUAGGCUCGCUCAUAAGUGCUCGGCCAUACUAGGCUUUGUAUCUCGGCCAACUGGGCUCGCUCAUAAGCGCUCGGCCACAGUAGGCUCGGUAUAUAUAUAACUGCUCUGCCGUAGUAGGCUCGCUCGUAAGCGCUCGGCCAUACUAGGCUCUGUAUCUCAACCAACUGGGCUCGCUCAUACGCGCUCCGCCACAGUAGGCUCGGUAUAUAACUUACCAUCUAAUUAGAGGUUGCCCAAUAGGGUCCCUCCCAUUGAUUAUAGCUCAAUGGUAAUGAAAAUACAUUUAAUACUGUAUUUAUACAAAUUCUCUGCUCUCUUAACUGGAAGAAGGAAAUACUCAACUGAAUAUACAGUCCCGAUAAGGAGAAUAUUAUCACUUACAAUACUAGAAAAAUAUACACAAUUUGCGAGACUAGCAAAAUAUACGUAAAUUCAGGGAUAUGAAUGUAAUGACGAGAUCAUGCCAAAUGAAAGAAGAGCUUAGCUUUAACAUACUUGGAGUAGGAAAAAUUCUGUAUACUAUUCUUGACGAGGAUUGCACCGCACUCUUACAGAACCGCAAAAUUCCACGUUACUAGUAUUCCAACAAAUUCCUUUUUUUUUGGAACGAAAACUACCUUCUGUGUGUAACGUUUUCUUGAAUCUUUAAGAAGGAAAUGUUUCCAAUCUUUCUCAUGUAUUUGGACUUAAGAAUGAAUAAAGAUAAGAAAGUAUUUAACAUUUUCGUGAAUCAUUUUAAGAAGAAAAUGUUUCUGAUCUCAUUUGGAGCUAAAAAUGAAAUGAAGAUAAGAGUGCAUUUAACGUUUUCUUCAAUCCUUUUAAGAAGGAAACGUU